rnacentral:rRNA from 1 species
GACGACCGCUGGCGGCGUGCCUAAUACAUGCAAGUCGAGCGGACAGAUGGGAGCUUGCCCCCUGAAGUCAGCGGCGGACGGGUGAGUAACACGUGGGCAACCUGCCUGUAAGACUGGGAUAACCUCGGGACACCGGAGCUAAUACCGGAUACGAUCUUUUCUCGCCUGAGGAAAGAUGGAAAGAUGGUUUCGGCUAUCACUUACAGAUGGGCCCGCGGCGCAUUAGCUAGUUGGUGGGGUAAUGGCCUACCAAGGCGACGAUGCGUAGCCGACCUGAGAGGGUGAUCGGCCACACUGGGACUGAGACACGGCCCAGACUCCUACGGGAGGCAGCAGUAGGGAAUCUUCCGCAAUGGACGAAAGUCUGACGGAGCAACGCCGCGUGAGCGAAUAAGGCCUUCGGGUCGUAAGGCUCUGUUGUCAGGGAAGAACAAGUGCCAGAGUAACUGCUGGCACCUUGACGGUACCUGACCAGAAAGCCACGGCUAACUACGUGCCAGCCGCCGCAGUAAUAC